GCUCUGAUGGCCUAGUGAUUAGAGCGUCCGCCUCGUAUGCGGGAAUUCGUGGGUUCGAUCCCAGGUUGAUUCA